CCCUUAGAUGUUCUGAACCGCACGCGUGUUACACUGAUGCAUUCAACGAGCUUUACCUUGGCCGAGAGGCCUGGGAAAUCUUUUUAGCAUGCAUCGUGAUAGGGAUUGAUUAUUGCAAUUAUUAAUCAUGAACGAGGAAUUCCUAGUAAACGCAUUUCAUCAAAAUGCAUUGAUUACGUCCCUGCCCUUUGUACACACCGCCCGUCGCACCUAUCGAUUGAGUGGUCCGGUGAAGUCUCGAGAUUGUGGCAAUCUCCUUUAUUGGAGUUUGACUGCGAGAACUUGCCUAAACCUUAUCACUUAGAGGAAGGUGAAGUCGUAACA
rnacentral:rRNA from 1 species